UAUUUUCUCAAAUAAAAAAAGUCUUUUUCGCCGAGAGAGAGAGAGAGAGAGAGAGAGAGAGAUCCGGUAGGGUGAUCGCGCUUCCGUACCUCGCGGAACGGAAACCCUAGGUCCCGAUUCGGAGGUCGGAGGAACCCUGACCCUGUCUCCGGGACGAUCGAGCCCCCGCUCCCUCUCCCGCCACAAAAAGAUCACCAAAUUUCCCGCCCGCAGACUCGCGGGUCGAUUCAUUAAUCUGAUGCCGGGCAAUCGGUCGUAGGUGUUGGAUUCUUCUCCUUCUGCGUCUAGCUAUGCUACUUUGUUUGGAUUUGCUUGUCGAGGUGGCGAAGUUCGUGCUCUUGGCCCCGAUUUGAGAGGGAUAUGGUGGGGAUUACUCUUUGGCUCAGUCACUUUUUGAGUGUUUAUGUUGAAGGAACUCAUAACGUUGUCAGGAAAUUGCUUUUGUUUGGCAAGGAGAUAAAUGCACAAAAUAUCAGGGAAAUUAAGUUAUAACCCCUGGUCAGAGCAGGCUGGAUUUUUGCUAGGAGUGAAGUUUCUGAGGAGGUCUAGAUUUUCCUCAAGGAGCACUCAUUCUGUAUUCAUCCAUAUGAAGAAGCUGGAAGUUGGCUGACUUUGUAGAAUUUGCCAUGGGUCGUUCAGUAUUUGAAUAAUAUGCUGUGAAAUCUUAAUCUAAAAGGUUCCAGUUCUCAGUUCUCAGUAUCCAAGGAAAGCUGUUCUGAUCUUGUUGAAGAUUUAGAGGCAAGAGACUGCUGAAUAUGCUGCUUCUUAGGUGCUUCCUCUUUUGAGUGUCUCUUUCUUGUCCAAGACAGCACAUUGUGCAAGCAAUAAGCAGUUGUGGCAACAAUAUUUGAUGUACAAGCAGCUCCAAGAGGUUCAGAGACAGCAGCAACUUCAGCAGCUAGAUCAGGGAGCAGGCAGCUGAGUCCGCCUAGUCAGUUAUCUGCUGUAUCAAAGCCUGCAACAGGAAAUCAGUCACCCGCAAGGUUAAACGAAAGCCAUCAGUCAAGCAUAUAGCAGUAUGUGGCUUAUUAAUUUUGUUGGAGGCACAUCCAACAUACCUAGUAAAUCUCAUGUGUUUAAAGCUGGAAACAUGAACUUGGUGCAGCCCAGUUGCUCUGUUGCCAUGCAGAACCAUGCAAAUGGUGUAAUUAUAUCAAAUGAUCAAAAUCAGGCAACACAAUCUAUGGGAUUUAUUCCACAAAAGAUCGAUCACUCUUUUCUUGGCAUGCCUACUUCAGAUACCAGCUCUGUCAACAACUAUUCACAUUUAUUAAGAAUGUCUAUUGAUUGUCAUGAUUUGAUGACUAAGGCAGCUGCAACCAAGGCAGAAAAGCCAACAUAUUCAUCUAGCACUUUGUGAGCUGAUUAUCAAGUGGCCUCACAAAGUUGCUUUCAGGAUAAGGCUUUAGCUACUGCACAGAAUUUUCAGGGGAAACAUGACUUUGGCAAUUAUCCAGUACAAGUUCUGGGUAAUAAUGUUCCAUCAAGAAACUUUCAACAGAUGAACAAUAUGCAAAGCAGCAUUCAGUUCCAGGAAUUUCAUGGUACACAAAAACAAGAAAUGUCAUCUAGUAAUUCACUGGAAGAGCCAUUAUCAGACGUAGGGACUUGUAGCACUGUGGCUAGUCUAGAUCCUAUAGAACUGAAGCUCUUGUUGGGCUCUGAUGAUGAUCACAAUUGGGGUCUUCCAUCUGGAGGGAGCUUUAUCUCUGGCAUGGGUAGUGAUAUUCAUGGGCAUCCUUGAGAGAGUGGUUAUUAUGGUGUGUUUCCUUCUAUCCGUAGUGGGAGCUGUAGUGCUCUUAUACAAGAGGCUGUUCAAGAUUCCAUUGCUGAUAAGGGGCAGGAGGAACGGAGUGGCAUGGGUUUUCAGAAAACAGAGCAACUGACCGGUAAAGCAUUUUGUAACUACUAAUGAUAAUGGGAAACAUGCAGCUGUUUGGGAUGAUAGCAACCUUAAGAGUGCAACUUCUUUAAUUCCGGGAACUUUUCCCUUGAUUAUUGGUGUUAAUGCAACCUCAAACUCUGAUCCUAGUAAUUGGCAUUCCUCUGACUGAGGUUCCCCAUGCAUCUUUCAAGACUUCUUCCGGAGGACCCAGUAACAAAGAGUUCCUUCAGAGCAGAAUCAUACCCAAGCUGUGGAAGGUGGCCUUCAAGUUCAAGUACCUUCAACUAGUGGAGCCUGGGCUGGACAAACUAUUCAGCUGCGUGAAAUUAGUUCUGGUAACUUUUGAAGUCACAGGACAGAGGAGGUGUUUGGGGUAACCAACAAAACAUGUUCUCUUCUAAUGUUUCUAUCCUGCCUGUUGAUAAGCUAAACAGCUUAAAUGCAAGUUAUCCGGUGGCAUCAAGAGGUCACAACACUUUAAAUUAUCAAGAAAUUGAUGACAUUUUGUGGAAGAUUGGUGAAAAUCAUGGUAAUCUGAAUUGUGGUUUGCAACCAGUUAAAACCGAUAUUAUUGGCAGCCCCAAGAUGCAAGCCGAAGAUUUUUUAGCAGGUCAGUUUGAUUCUGUAAAGAAACCAACACCUUAAAGUUGGACCAGGACAUGCAUCGACAGGUUCUCAAUGCACGGCAAACUGUCUUUGAGGAACAGUUUGCCCUUAAUUUAUGUGUGAAUUCUGGAGGUGACAAAGAUGUUAUUGAGAACCAGAAUCAACCAACGGGGAGACCACAAACUUGGAACACAUCUUUAAGUGCUGCUGCAGAAAUAUUGGGUGAUAGGCUACUAGAAGGAAUGCAGAAGAGUGGUCACAGAUGAGGGUUAUGUUGGAAAUGCAGCAAAAGAGAAGUCCUUAUUGACUGGUAAUAUAACCAGUUUAAAAUGUUGUGCAGGUCAUUGCAAAGUUUGAGGAAGACUGCAGGGCCCAUCCAACUCCAACUCCGUUUCUCAAGGAUCGAAUAAUGAGGAGCAACCAUUUGUUGGAAAGUCAGUCACAGUUUUCUGGUCAUACUGUUUCCAACAAUUCUGUGGAUGUGCCUAAGAGGAUUGCAGUGGGAGCAGAAGAAUUGCUGUCUGGAAAUACCAUACCUCUCUGUGCCCCUGGCAAUUCUUUUGAUGGAUCAACUGCUCAAAUUUUCCAGAACGAGACAGUUGCUCCAACAAGUAUGCCAGAGUUGGACUGGCCUCAGGAUUUCAAUCGAUUGGCUGAGAAGGCUGAUGAUGGAUCUGAAACUAUGGAUGAUGGCCUCUUGAUUCCUGAGUCACGAAGAGGGCUAAUCCUGACAACCCAGCUGAUGCAUCAUCUUAUUCCAGCUGUACCAGCUAAGGUAUUCAAAGGAGAGACCACUAAAGCUUAUGAAAGUGUGACAUUCUCCAUUGCUAAAUCAGCACUUGCGGAUGCAUGCAGCCUCUCCUGUUACUCGGAAAGUGAUUCCCAUUUGCUGAUGCAACAUGAAAAUAUAAUUUUACGGGUGAGAUAUAUGUAAUAUGGGCGCAUACUUUUUCCCACAAUAUAUAUAGAUUUAUCGAGGCUCAGUCACUUUUUGAGUGUUUAUGUUGAAGGAACUCAUAACGUUGUCAGGAAAUUGCUUUUGUUUGGCAAGGAGAUAAAUGCACAAAAUAUCAGGGAAAUUAAGUUAUAACCCCUGGUCAGAGCAGGCUGGAUUUUUGCUAGGAGUGAAGUUUCUGAGGAGGUCUAGAUUUUCCUCAAGGAGCACUCAUUCUGUAUUCAUCCAUAUGAAGAAGCUGGAAGUUGGCUGACUUUGUAGAAUUUGCCAUGGGUCGUUCAGUAUUUGAAUAAUAUGCUGUGAAAUCUUAAUCUAAAAGGUUCCAGUUCUCAGUUCUCAGUAUCCAAGGAAAGCUGUUCUGAUCUUGUUGAAGAUUUAGAGGCAAGAGACUGCUGAAUAUGCUGCUUCUUAGGUGCUUCCUCUUUUGAGUGUCUCUUUCUUGUCCAAGACAGCACAUUGUGCAAGCAAUAAGCAGUUGUGGCAACAAUAUUUGAUGUACAAGCAGCUCCAAGAGGUUCAGAGACAGCAGCAACUUCAGCAGCUAGAUCAGGGAGCAGGCAGCUGAGUCCGCCUAGUCAGUUAUCUGCUGUAUCAAAGCCUGCAACAGGAAAUCAGUCACCCGCAAGGUUAAACGAAAGCCAUCAGUCAAGCAUAUAGCAGUAUGUGGCUUAUUAAUUUUGUUGGAGGCACAUCCAACAUACCUAGUAAAUCUCAUGUGUUUAAAGCUGGAAACAUGAACUUGGUGCAGCCCAGUUGCUCUGUUGCCAUGCAGAACCAUGCAAAUGGUGUAAUUAUAUCAAAUGAUCAAAAUCAGGCAACACAAUCUAUGGGAUUUAUUCCACAAAAGAUCGAUCACUCUUUUCUUGGCAUGCCUACUUCAGAUACCAGCUCUGUCAACAACUAUUCACAUUUAUUAAGAAUGUCUAUUGAUUGUCAUGAUUUGAUGACUAAGGCAGCUGCAACCAAGGCAGAAAAGCCAACAUAUUCAUCUAGCACUUUGUGAGCUGAUUAUCAAGUGGCCUCACAAAGUUGCUUUCAGGAUAAGGCUUUAGCUACUGCACAGAAUUUUCAGGGGAAACAUGACUUUGGCAAUUAUCCAGUACAAGUUCUGGGUAAUAAUGUUCCAUCAAGAAACUUUCAACAGAUGAACAAUAUGCAAAGCAGCAUUCAGUUCCAGGAAUUUCAUGGUACACAAAAACAAGAAAUGUCAUCUAGUAAUUCACUGGAAGAGCCAUUAUCAGACGUAGGGACUUGUAGCACUGUGGCUAGUCUAGAUCCUAUAGAACUGAAGCUCUUGUUGGGCUCUGAUGAUGAUCACAAUUGGGGUCUUCCAUCUGGAGGGAGCUUUAUCUCUGGCAUGGGUAGUGAUAUUCAUGGGCAUCCUUGAGAGAGUGGUUAUUAUGGUGUGUUUCCUUCUAUCCGUAGUGGGAGCUGUAGUGCUCUUAUACAAGAGGCUGUUCAAGAUUCCAUUGCUGAUAAGGGGCAGGAGGAACGGAGUGGCAUGGGUUUUCAGAAAACAGAGCAACUGACCGGUAAAGCAUUUUGUAACUACUAAUGAUAAUGGGAAACAUGCAGCUGUUUGGGAUGAUAGCAACCUUAAGAGUGCAACUUCUUUAAUUCCGGGAACUUUUCCCUUGAUUAUUGGUGUUAAUGCAACCUCAAACUCUGAUCCUAGUAAUUGGCAUUCCUCUGACUGAGGUUCCCCAUGCAUCUUUCAAGACUUCUUCCGGAGGACCCAGUAACAAAGAGUUCCUUCAGAGCAGAAUCAUACCCAAGCUGUGGAAGGUGGCCUUCAAGUUCAAGUACCUUCAACUAGUGGAGCCUGGGCUGGACAAACUAUUCAGCUGCGUGAAAUUAGUUCUGGUAACUUUUGAAGUCACAGGACAGAGGAGGUGUUUGGGGUAACCAACAAAACAUGUUCUCUUCUAAUGUUUCUAUCCUGCCUGUUGAUAAGCUAAACAGCUUAAAUGCAAGUUAUCCGGUGGCAUCAAGAGGUCACAACACUUUAAAUUAUCAAGAAAUUGAUGACAUUUUGUGGAAGAUUGGUGAAAAUCAUGGUAAUCUGAAUUGUGGUUUGCAACCAGUUAAAACCGAUAUUAUUGGCAGCCCCAAGAUGCAAGCCGAAGAUUUUUUAGCAGGUCAGUUUGAUUCUGUAAAGAAACCAACACCUUAAAGUUGGACCAGGACAUGCAUCGACAGGUUCUCAAUGCACGGCAAACUGUCUUUGAGGAACAGUUUGCCCUUAAUUUAUGUGUGAAUUCUGGAGGUGACAAAGAUGUUAUUGAGAACCAGAAUCAACCAACGGGGAGACCACAAACUUGGAACACAUCUUUAAGUGCUGCUGCAGAAAUAUUGGGUGAUAGGCUACUAGAAGGAAUGCAGAAGAGUGGUCACAGAUGAGGGUUAUGUUGGAAAUGCAGCAAAAGAGAAGUCCUUAUUGACUGGUAAUAUAACCAGUUUAAAAUGUUGUGCAGGUCAUUGCAAAGUUUGAGGAAGACUGCAGGGCCCAUCCAACUCCAACUCCGUUUCUCAAGGAUCGAAUAAUGAGGAGCAACCAUUUGUUGGAAAGUCAGUCACAGUUUUCUGGUCAUACUGUUUCCAACAAUUCUGUGGAUGUGCCUAAGAGGAUUGCAGUGGGAGCAGAAGAAUUGCUGUCUGGAAAUACCAUACCUCUCUGUGCCCCUGGCAAUUCUUUUGAUGGAUCAACUGCUCAAAUUUUCCAGAACGAGACAGUUGCUCCAACAAGGGACAAUGGGAGGCUUCGGGGAGGCUGACCUUUACGGACGGACAUGUAAGGGUGCCGCACGACUUAGGCAAAACCAGUUAAGUCCGUGACAGUCCGACGUUAUGGUAUGGGUGGUAUGUACCGGUCUAGUUUGGGCCGUUAUAGCAAAGCUAUUUGCUACUUCAUCAAGUGCAAUCCAUGAAGGCUUCUGUCUCUUAUCUAAACAAGGUGACAGGAAACACACUAAAAGACUUUUAGUUCCAGUGCUUCACAGAUGAGCUUAAAUGUAGAUCAGAAAUUUGUUCAUGGGCAGAAUGCAGUCUUGAACCUAGUUGUGAACCUAGUUGCGAAGCAUAAGUAUGCCAGAGUUGGACUGGCCUCAGGAUUUCAAUCGAUUGGCUGAGAAGGCUGAUGAUGGAUCUGAAACUAUGGAUGAUGGCCUCUUGAUUCCUGAGUCACGAAGAGGGCUAAUCCUGACAACCCAGCUGAUGCAUCAUCUUAUUCCAGCUGUACCAGCUAAGGUAUUCAAAGGAGAGACCACUAAAGCUUAUGAAAGUGUGACAUUCUCCAUUGCUAAAUCAGCACUUGCGGAUGCAUGCAGCCUCUCCUGUUACUCGGAAAGUGAUUCCCAUUUGCUGAUGCAACAUGAAAAUAUAAUUUUACGGGUGAGAUAUAUGUAAUAUGGGCGCAUACUUUUUCCCACAAUAUAUAUAGAUUUAUCGAGGUCCUAAGAUACCUUGGGAAGUUUCGGGGAGACUGACCUUUGCGGACGGACACGCAAGGGUACCGCACGACUUAGGCAAAACUAACUAAGUAUGUGACAAGCAGUGAUUGCUGUUGACAUGUCUUGUUCUGAUGGUACUUCCAAAGGUGGUUGUAUUAGUGGAAGUUUUGUAGAUCAAGAGUUGGUCAUUCAGACAUUUAAGGUAAUUUAUGUCAUCUAAAGAUUCUCCUGGAAGCAAGUUGUCCAAUGGAUGCGGCAGGGAUAGUGAGCGUAGAGCAAACUUGCAGUGCUGCAUUGGCAUUGCUUGCUUCAUCCAUGAUUCAUCCUCAUCCAGUAGAGAAAUCAUCAUGUCGCUGGAAAGCAUAUAUCUCAAAGUUGAGUAUGUUUGAUUCACAGCAACAAGAAGCUAUAAGAGUUCCCAUAAGAUCUCCUCUCCAUUGAUCUCUGUUGAAGAAGCCAAUGGAAUCCAAUGGAAUAUGGGGUCUCGAUCUCCGAUUGGGGGGGAUGAACGUUCUUGCAAUUCUUGGAAUGUGUUCGUGUACGUGGUUUUGUUCUAAUUUCUUCUUUAAAGUAAAUUUUUGUGUAUAAUUAUGUGUUUAGAACAGAUACUAGGUGGAAUAGGAAUAAUGUGAAGUUUAACCGGAAUCGAGGUGCGUGUAAAUGUAAAUAUCUUAUAAUUGUAUGUAUUACUAAUAAAAUAUAUUAAGCAUGAUUUAUCUUAUCA